GCCUGCGGCCAUACCACGUUGAAUGCACCGGUUCCCAUCUGAACACCGAAGUUAAGCAACGUCGGGCCAGCUUAGUACCUGGAUGGGUGACCGCCUGGGAAUCGCUGGUGCUGCAGGCUU
rnacentral:rRNA from 1 species